GCAUCUGUAGCUCAGUGGAUAGGGCAGCAGCUUCCGAAGCUGAAGGUCGUAGGUUCGAAUCCUAUCAGGUGCA
rfam:Clostridium phytofermentans ISDg, complete genome.